rnacentral:misc_RNA from 1 species
CAGCAGCGUAAUUCCAGCUCCAAUAGCGUAUAUUAAAGUUGUUGCAGUUAAAAAGCUCGUAGUUGAAUUUCGAGAUCAAUUUGUUGGUCGUGCCUCGGUACGUACUGGCAAUUUUGAUUUCUCCCUUCUGAAGAACCAUGAUGUCAUUAAUUUGGUGUCAUGGGGAAUCAGGACCGUUACUUUGAAAAAAUUAGAGUGUUUAAAGCAGGCUCGCGCUUGAAUACAUUAGCAUGGAAUAAUGAAAUAGGACGUUUGAUUCUAUUUUGUUGGUUUAUAGGAUCGACGUAAUGAUUAAUAGGGAUAGUUGGGGGCAUUAGUAUUCAAUUGUCAGAGGUGAAAUUCUUGGAUUUAUUGAAGACUAACUACUGCGAAAGCAUUUGCCAAGGAUGUUUUCAUUAAUCAAGAACGAAAGUUAGGGGAUCGAAGACGAUCAGAUACCGUCGUAGUCUUAACCAUAAACUAUGCCGACUAGGGAUCGGAUGAUGUUAAUUUUUUAAUGACUCAUUCGGCGCCUUACG